GGGCCUGUAGCUCACUUGGUAGAGCGCGUGCAUGGCAUGCACGAGGUAAGGGGUUCGAUCCCCCUCAGGUCCA
rnacentral:tRNA from 1 species